CACCGAACCUCAAGAAUCAAGAACAAGUUCCCUCCACCGAUGGAUCAAUAGAAGGUUUAGUUCUCCAUAAAAAUGGAGCAGCCGCUUUUCUGUUCUACAGUGUGUGAAUACAGACUCUGCAGCCCUAGCUGCGUUUUCUAGUUUAAAUAUUAUGGGCUUUAAAAGUUACGGGCCGAAAACAUAAGUUUGGGUCGAAAAUAAAUUAAGUUAUCACGUUUGGAACAUAAACGCAAUUAUUUGACACACUUGCGCUCCGAACUGGGUUUUGGCCUUAACAUGAAAGUUGUAGCUCUUGAUCUCAGCUUUCCAACGCAUCUUCCCUCUCCUCAAUCCGAUAUUCG
rnacentral:lncRNA from 1 species